GGGGAGGCAGCAGUGGGGAAUAUUGCACAAUGGGGGAAACCCUGAUGCAGCCAUGCCGCGUGUGUGAAGAAGGCCUUCGGGUUGUAAAGCACUUUCAGUAGGGAGGAAGGUAGUGUAGUUAACACCUGCAUUAUUUGACGUUACCUACAGAAGAAGCACCGGCUAACUCCGUGCCAGCAGCCGCGGUAAUACGGAGGGUGCGAGCGUUAAUCGGAAUUACUGGGCGUAAAGCGCAUGCAGGCGGCCUGUUAAGUCAGAUGUGAAAGCCCGGGGCUUAACCUCGGAAUUGCAUUUGAAACUGGCAGGCUAGAGUCUUGUAGAGGGGGGUAGGAAUUUCAGGUGUAGCGGUGAAAAUGCGUAGAGAUCUGAAGGAAUACCAGUGGCGAAGGCGGCCCCCCGGACAAAGACUGACGCUCAGAUGCGAAAGCGUGGGGAGCAAACAGGAUUAGAUACCCUGGUAG
rnacentral:rRNA from 1 species